AGAAUUGUACGGGAAAGAGUUCCUUGUAUACAAUGUCCAUGCACUCCUCCAUCUGGUCAAAGAUGCACAAAGGUUUGGGUCCCUGGACAAAUGUGCAGCUUGGAAAUUUGAAAAUUUCAUGCAGAGGCUAAAAAA